rnacentral:rRNA from 1 species
GAUGAACGCUGGCGGCGUGCCUAACACAUGCAAGUCGAGCGAUUCUCUUCGGAGAAGAGCGGCGGACGGGUGAGUAACGCGUGGGUAACCUGCCCUGUACACACGGAUAACAUACCGAAAGGUAUGCUAAUACGAGAUAAUAUACUUUUAUCGCAUGGUAGAAGUAUCAAAGCUCUGGCGGUACAGGAUGGACCCGCGUCUGAUUAGCUAGUUGGUAAGGUAACGGCUUACCAAGGCGACGAUCUGUAGCCGACCUGAGAGGGUGAUCGGCCACAUUGGAACUGAGACACGGUCCAAACUCCUACGGGAGGCAGCAGUGGGGAAUAUUGCACAAUGGGCGAAAGCCUGAUGCAGCAACGCCGCGUGAGCGAUGAAGGCUUUCGGGUCGUAAAGCUCUGUCCUCAAGGAAGAUAAUGACGGUACUUGAGGAGGAAGCCCCGGCUAACUACGUGCCAGCCGCCGCAGUAACAC